rnacentral:rRNA from 1 species
CCCUUAGAUGUUCUGGGCCGCACGCGCGCUACACUGACAGAGCCAACGAGUUCUUCACCUUGGCCGGAAGGUCUGGGUAAUCUUGUUAAACUCUGUCGUGCUGGGGAUAGAGCAUUGCAAUUAUUGCUCUUCAACGAGGAAUGCCUAGUAAGCGCGUGUCAUCAGCACGCGUUGAUUACGUCCCUGCCCUUUGUACACACCGCCCGUCGCUACUACCGAUUGAAUGGCUCAGUGAGGCCUUCGGACUUGCUCAGGGAGGUUGGCAACGACCACCCCGAGCCGGAAAGUUCGUCAAACUCGGUCAUUUAGAGGAAGUAAAAGUCGUAACA